AGGAAUCAAGUUCACAUGGUAGAGGUUUCAAAUGUAGAAGGGCAUUUACAAAUAAAUCGAAAAGUAUCCUCCAAAUCUCUAGGAAUAUCUUUUCCGUUUUGAUUCUCAUCAACCAAACAUAGGAAAGAAAAAAACGAAUUGAGAAUUUCUAACCUCACACAAACCAUAGAUAGGGUUUUGAUGUAGCUAUAGCUGAUCAAGUGGGCUCUCCAUUGGAGAAAGCUAGUGCGCAAAAUCACAGCCAUCAAUCAAUAAC
rnacentral:lncRNA from 1 species